CAAAAACCAAAAUGCCUCAUAUAGUAAAAUUCUAUGUUAAAAUCCAGCACCCCAAUAAAAAUCCAAUUUUCUUUAAAACUUCUGAUUUUUAAAUUACAUUAAAGUCAAAGUAGAGACUAAUUUGCCCACAUAUGGCUAAUAAAAAGGCCAAGCAAGGCCAGAGAGAAAUUCAAAUUAGUCUCUCCUUCAAUCCUCACUGUGACAGAGUCUAUGGGAGGGUAAUAGAAGGAAGGUAUUUAGGACCCAGACUCCUCCAUAGCCUGUACUCAUUCACCUGUCCAAUUAGCAACUGCUGAGGCUUUAAUUAGCAGGUCUCAGAGCAGAUAGAGGGGAGAUACAAUCUGACCUGCAAAGAGAGCAGGUCUGUGCAGAGCAGCACCAAACAAAGUGCUAAAGUUUGUUGAAACCAAUGUUUAUUCUGUUGAUUUGUUUAGAUUACCCUGGUUUAGUAAGGGACAUUAAUUUAUGUUUAGUAAGUGCUCGAAUUUGAGCUAGGGUUUUGUUUGAAGAUUUUUCUUUCUGUUUUGCUGCAGUUUUGAACAAACUGAUUGCUGCAUGGCUUUUUGUACACAAUGUGAAUAAACCACACCUUUUUUUUUUUUUUUGCAUAAGAGUCUGUUGUUCUAUACCUGUUACCCU